AUUUAAUAAAAACUCCAUCUGGUAUGUGUACCAGAAAAACACAGGAGUUGGAUGGAUUUUUUAUUAAAUCAGGCCUUAAACUUGUUAAAUAGUUUUGCAUUUUUAUAAAUUAUAGUCAUGGUUAUAACAUUUCAGUAGCACCAUAAAAGUGCUUGGUUUAGGAAUUUUUUUUUUAAACUGAGAUAGUGUGUAAAUUUCUAGAUGGCUGUAAUAACAUGCAGGCUUUAAGUUACUGAUUUUAUAUAUCAAUAUUUGCAGCUUUCCAAUUAGUUGUGAUUUAUAAUUUAAUGUUUUACUUUUGGAAAAUAAGUGACAUUUAGAAAAUUAAAUAUUACUAUGAGGCUGUAUUGUGGUUUCCUACCCUCCCUCACCUUUCCAUCCCCUCCCACUUCCCUACUCCCGCUGCCCCACACCCUCUUAAUGCACAAGGCAUUAACAUAUGCUCCAGGUUACUUUUUUGGUAUUAAAUUCGGUGUUAGUCAGCAGAAUAAUCAUUUUCUGCACAAUUAUAGUAACUUAGGUCAAGUGUAGUUUUAUAUAGUGGUAGGUCUGAAUCCAUUUUCUUUAACUGUGUUGUUGUUGUAGGAAUUUGCUCGCCCUGAUACAUCGAAUGAUAGAGUUUGUUGUACGUGAAGGGCCAAUGUUUGAAGCUAUGAUUAUGAACAGAGAAAUCAACAAUCCUAUGUUCAGGUUCUUAUUUGAAAACCAGACACCAGCCCAUGUUUACUAUAGGUGGAAGCUUUAUUCUAUUCUGCAGGCAAGUAGAAUCAAUUACUUUGUUAAUUUUGACUCUGAGUAAUUAGACCUUUAUAAUAACUCUAAAUGUUUGUUAGGGAGAUUCUCCAACUAAAUGGCGGACGGAAGAUUUUCGUAUGUUCAAAAAUGGAUCUUUUUGGAGGCCACCACCAUUAAAUCCGUACUUGCAUGGAAUGUCAGAAGAGCAAGAAACAGAAGCUUUUGUAGAGGAACCUAGUAAAAAGGGAGCACUUAAGGAAGAACAGAGGGAUAAAUUGGAAGAAAUCUUGCGGGGAUUAACUCCAAGGAAAAAUGAUAUUGGAGAUGCAAUGGUUUUCUGUCUUAAUAAUGCUGAAGCUGCUGAAGAAAUAGUGGAUUGCAUUACUGAGUCGUUGUCCAUCUUAAAGACACCCCUUCCUAAAAAGAUUGCCAGAUUGUAUUUGGUUUCUGAUGUUUUGUACAACUCUUCAGCCAAAGUUGCUAAUGCUUCAUAUUAUAGAAAAUUUUUUGAGACAAAGUUA
rnacentral:sRNA from 1 species